rnacentral:misc_RNA from 1 species
GAUGAAGAACGCAGCGAAAUGCGAUAAGUAAUGUGAAUUGCAGAAUUCAGUGAAUCAUCGAAUCUUUGAACGCACAUUGCGCCCCUUGGUAUUCCGAGGGGCAAGCCUGUUCGAGCGUCAUUAUAACCCCUCAAGCUCAGCUUGGUGUUGGGGCCUGCUGCACUGGCAGCCCUUAAAAUCAGUGGCGGCGCCGUCUGGCUCUAAGCGUAGUAAUUCUUCUCGCUAUGGAGUCCUGGUGGAUGCUUGCCAUCAACCCCCAAUUUUUCUAUGGUUGACCUCGGAUCAGGUAGGGAUACCCGCUGAACUUAAGCAUAUCAAUAAGCGGAGGA